CAGUAGCCGCGGGAAAACAGAGGGUGCAAGCGUUAAUCGGAUUUACUGGGCGUAAAGGGCGCGUAGGUGGUUAUGUAAGUGAGAUGUGAAAUCCCCGGGCUCAACCUGGGAACUGCAUCUUAUACUGCGUAGCUGGAGUGCAGUAGAGGGUAGUGGAAUUUCCGGUGUAGCGGUGAAAUGCGUAGAUAUCGGAAGGAACACCAGUGGCGAAGGCGGCUACCUGGACUGACACUGACACUGAGGCGCGAAAGCGUGGGGAGCAAACAGGAUUAGAUACCCGAGUAGUCCCUGUCUCUUAUAA
rnacentral:rRNA from 1 species